ensembl:misc_RNA 7SK 7SK RNA
GGAUGUGAGGGCGAUCUGGCUGCGACAUCUGUCACCCCAUUGAUCGCCAGGGUUGACUCAGCUGAUCUGGCUGGCUAGGCGGGUGUCCCCUUCCUCCCUCAACGCUCCAUGUGCAUCCCUCCUGAAGCUGCGCGCUCAGUCGAAGAAGACGGCCUUCCGGGAAUAGAGAUGGACUGGUCUUCUGUUAAGGGUAGCUGCUGUGAUCCCCUGCUAGAACCUCCAAACAAGCUCUCAAGUUCCUUUUCCCCACCUAUUGGUGGGAGAAGCUUCAUGAGUAAUGAAACAGUUAAUUAUUACUAAUAAGUAAUUCAUU